GAUGAACGCUGACAGAAUGCUUAACACAUGCAAGUCUUUGGCGAAGCUGUGCUUGCACAGCCUAGCCAAGGCGGACGGGUGAGUAACGCGUAAGGAACUUGCCCUGCAGUCAGGGAUAACAGACGGAAACGACUGAUAAGACCUGGUAAAGUCAGGCGGACUCAUGUCCUGCCUGAUGAAAAGAGAUGCUGCAGGAGAGCCUUGCGUCCUAUUAGCUUGUUGGUGGGGUAACGGCCCACCAAGGCGAUGAUAGGUAGCCGGCCUGAGAGGGUGGACGGCCACAAGGGGACUGAGAUAAGGCCCUGACUCCUACGGGAGGCAGCAGUGGGGAAUAUUGGACAAUGGGGGCAACCCUGAUCCAGCAAUUCUGUGUGAACGAUGAAGGUUUUCGGAUUGUAAAGUGCUUUCAGCAGGGAAGAAAAAAAUGACGGUACCUGCAGAAGAAGCGACGGCUAAAUACGUG
rnacentral:rRNA from 1 species